UACGGGGGGGGGCAAGCGUUGUCCGGAGUUACUGGGCGUAAAGGGCAUGCAGGCGGUCCGACACGUUUUGUGUGACAGCGGGUGGCUUAACUACCCGAGGAUACGAAAGACGGUUGGACUUGAGGACUCGAGAGGGACACGGAAUUCCGGGUGGAGUGGUGAAAUGCGUAGAGAUCCGGAGGAACACCGAAGGCGAAGGCAGUGUCCUGGCGAGUGACUGACGCUGAGGUGCGAAAGCCAGGGGAGCGAACGGG
rnacentral:rRNA from 1 species